GACGAACGCUGGCGGCGUGCCUAAUACAUGCAAGUAGAACGCUGAAGGAGGAGCUUGCUUCUCCGGAUGAGUUGCGAACGGGUGAGUAACGCGUAGGUAACCUGCCUGGUAGCGGGGGAUAACUAUUGGAAACGAUAGCUAAUACCGCAUAAGAGUAGAUGUCGCAUGACAUUUGCUUAAAAGGUGCAACUGCACCACUACCAGAUGGACCUGCGUUGUAUUAGCUAGUUGGUGAAGUAACGGCUCACCAAGGCAACGAUACAUAGCCGACCUGAGAGGGGGAUCGGCCACAAUGGGACUGAGGAACGGCCCAGAAUCCUACGGGAGGCAGCAGUAGGGGAUCUUCGGCAAUGGACGGAAGUCUGACCGGGCAACGCCGCGUGAGUGAAGAAGGUUUUCGGAUCGUAAAGCUCUGUUGUAAGAGAAGAACGAGUGUGAGAGUGGAAAGUUCACACUGUGACGGUAUCUUACCAGAAAGGGACGGCUAACUACGUG
rnacentral:rRNA from 1 species